rnacentral:rRNA from 1 species
UACGAAGGGGGCUAGCGUUGUUCGGAAUUACUGGGCGUAAAGCGCACGUAGGCGGAUUGUUAAGUCGGGGGUGAAAUCCCAGGGCUCAACCCUGGAACUGCCUCCGAUACUGGCAUUCUCGAGUCCGGGAGAGGUGAGUGGAAUUCCGAGUGUAGAGGUGAAAUUCGUAGAUAUUCGGAAGAACACCAGUGGCGAAGGCGGCUCACUGGCCCGGAACUGACGCUGAGGUGCGAAAGCGUGGGGAGCAAACAGG